CUACACAAAGCAGCACCCAACGAUAUAAUACAUGUGUGUGUCAUGUAGUUAUUGUUUGAUUUGUAGUCAGUACAUAUAUAUAUCGUUGGGUGGUGCUUUGUGUGGACUCGCUGACAUGUGUGUGUCAUGUAGUUAUUGUUUGAUUUGUAGUCAGUGAUGUAGCUUUGUUGUUGGUUAUCGUCAGUUAUCUGUAUAUUAAGUAGUAUAUCUUUGGAACUAUAAAAUAAAUAGACAAGCAUUAGUUUUCAUUAGAGUGCACUUUUCAUCACAUAAUUAUAGGAACGUUUUGAGUGAUUGUAGGAGCUAUAGUAUAUCAGAAUGAAGGUGCAGGUACGUAUGGUCAACUUUGCACUUCUUUUCCUGCUAUUCAUCAAUCAUCUAGGCUUCGGAGAAUGUGGUUGUGGAUACUACAAUCCUACUUUUAAUAUUUGCUGCGGUGGAGUUGUUCAAUUCAAGGGUUCAAGUACAUCUUGCUGUGGUACUCGUGCUUAUAACAAUCGUUUUGAUAUUUGCUGCGGUGGAGUUAUUCAGUUCAAGGGUUCAAGUACAUCUUGCUGUGGUACUCGUGCUUAUAAUCAUCGUUUUGAUAUUUGCUGCGGUGGAGUUGUUCAGUUCAAGGGUUCAAGUACAUCUUGCUGUGGUACUCGUGCUUAUAAUCAUCGUUUUAAUGCUUGCUGCAAUGGAGCUAUUCAAUUUAGACGUUAUGGCUAUGUGUGCGGGGGCUGGGGCAAAUAAUUGUCAUGAACUGUUGAUCUGUAGCUAGUAAUUUAAGGAAAAACUUUAAAAAAGUAAAAUGAACAUUGAACAUACACUUUAGCCAAUCAAGCUUGAGUAGACUUUGAAUUAUCAUGAUAUAAGAUUAUGUGUAUAAUUAUGGUCACAAUGUUUCUCUAAUUUUUUGAUUUUGUAUCACGUAUAUUUGAAUUUUGCUUGAAGAAACAUGA